CCAAAGUACCCGAUGAGAACAGAAAAUUUCGAAUUCUUUGAAUGGCAGAAACACCGACACUAAUCGAAGAACCCAGACUAAUAAACCCUGAACCAUUUUACAGACUCUUUUUUUUUUCAUUUUUCAUUAAUUUUUACGGUUUGCCACAGGGACGGAGUUUCAGCGCUGCGGUGCACCGUACGAAGGGUGGAAGCGAGCGAUUACGAUGAAGACGGGAUUCCAUCGGUGGAGUUCUGAUGAUCAAAGAAACGUAAGUGAUGAUUAAUUGGACGGUCUUGAUGAGCGCAAAGUAGGAGUUAUCAUUGAUGAGCAACGAGGUUUUCGUGGCUCGGUCUCUUUCGAAGUUGCCUUGCCGCUUAUACCAAGUAAUUCUUUUUCCACUUUCUUGUCCCGUUUUCUGGGUUAGAAUUUUAAAAAUCUUUUAUGGUGUAUUGUUUACCCGUUACUACAAUUUUGGGUUUGUGAAGCGUUCAUUCUCAAACACUGGUAGCUCUUCCUGAACAAAGGAGCUAUCUUCUGCGCCUUUUAGUUUCUUUGCCCAUGCUUUUUUCUCACUUGUUCUUCGCCAUAGCAAUCACAGAAUUUAUAGUUCCAAAGUGCCCAUGAUUCUCUAUUUCUAAUCCUUUUUACAUUAUUUUUGUCAGCUUGUAUUGUUCUUUUCUUCUUCUGCAACCUAUCAAAUCAACUUAUUCAUAUCUUGACGAUGACAAAAGAAUUCCUCUACCACCGCAUUAUUGUGUUGUUGAAUAAAGUCAAAUCAUAUUCACAAUUCAGACUACUUUACCACUAUCCAGUCAACAAUUGACCUUACGUCCUGAUAAUCAAGGCGUGUGUUUGUUUUUCUUAUUUCCCACUUCCCAGUGCCGUUCAACAUGAAUCCGUCACUCACUUAAUAUGGGUAUCAGCGGAGAUUAAUGAAAAAACAAACACUAAUAUCAUCAAUUUUUAUCUAAAUCUUUGGCUGUGUUGACAAUAAGUCUUUCUGAAAAUACACUCUAAUAUUAUGUCAAAUACUUUGAGUAGUACAACCCUUUGUCUUGGGCCUUCAACCAUAUGCAUUAACCACAACAAUUACCAAAUCAACCACUAACUACUACCGAAACAUAAUUAAUGACCUCUAUUACCAGACUUAAUUAAUAUUAAGAAUCACUCUUAACCUUUGCAAUCGCCCAACUAAUUAUAACAAAACAUUAAAUACCACACUUGAAGCACUCAAAGCCUAAGUUGCUUGACCGACUUCCUCUCCGUUGACCUUUUCCGCACCAAUUUUGUUGAAGAUGGUUUCGAAGAAUUGGUCAACACCACAAAUUGCUUGAAUGUCAGUUGAAAGCAUUGAAAGAAGUGUGUUUGAAGGACAAGACAGCCUUAUACAUCUUGUACCAAGUUAUGAAUGAGUUCGACUUUGAAAAGAUUGCAAGUGCAAAAUCUUCAAGAGAAGCGUGAGACAUUCUGGAAAAGGCAUAUAAGGGAAUGAUCGUUUGAAGCAGGUUUGACUUCAAACUCUCAAGGGAGAGUUGGAGAGCAUGAGGAUGGAGGAGACUGAAGGAGUAGCCGAGUACAUCUCUCAGAUUAAAACAAUGACAAACCAGCUCUGUAGAAACGGAGAAAAAUUGCCAACUAGCCGAGUAGUGAAAAAAAUCUUAAGGUCGUUAACUGACAACUUUAAGAAUAUAGUAUGCUAUUGAAGAGUCCAAGGACUUGUCAAUGCUCUAUGUUGAAGAACUUGCCAGGUCACUUGAGGUGCAAAUUGGGUAAGUGUUUCAGUUGUGGUAAGGUUGGGCAUUUCGCAAAAGAUUGUCGAUCUGAAAAUAACAGAGAAGAGACAAUCAAUCUCAUCGAAGAAGUUGAAGAAGCGGUUUUGUUCAUGGUGGGAUGUAACGUGGGGUAGAGCACAAGCAAGUGGAGAAUUUGGUAAGAAGGUUGAGUAUCACAAGAGAGUCAAGUAGCGUAGAUAGGUCGAUAAGACAUGCACAUAGCCCAGACAACUUGAUGGGGUGCCUAGAUAACUUAUAAAGCUUGGUAAAGAGUGUGGAGAUCUCAAAUAGCCCGAAAAGGGACAUGGAGAGCUCAGUGGAGCAAAUGAACAUUUCAGAGAGUUCAGUGAGAUGUCUAAAUAGCUCAGCAUGGAGUGUUGAUAGCUUGGAGUUUGAAGAAGAGCUUGUUAUUCAAAGGUUAGAGAUUGCAAAAAGAGACUUGCAACAUGGAAUCAAAAUGGAGGUUAGCGGCAAUGCAAUUUUGCAAGCAAACUUAGAGAGAAAGAAGCAAGUUUUGCAUAAAAGGCGCUUGGAACUUGAAACAUUGCAAGAACACUUAUGUGUUUGAGUGGAACAAUACAUGGGAGCACGACCUAUUGAUAAAAACUCGGGUAACAACAGGUCAGUUACUGAGAUAGCAAAGAAUCCAAUAAGUAACAAGUCAACCACAAUGAAAGUGAGUUACAGUCAGCUACAGAGAAGAAUCAGACUAUUAAUGAAAGGAGCAAGCACGGUGUGGAGUGCACGUGGCAAAGCUUGGAAGAAGGAUGAAAGACAAAAGAAACAUUUAAGUUUACAGGGAGAUUUUGUUAGGUAACUUAAAUACGGUUAGUUGUAUUUAAUGUUUUGUUAUAAUUAGUUAGGGGAUUGCAAAGGUUUGGAGUGAUUCUUAGUAUUAAUUAAGUCUAGCAAUAGAGGUUUUAAAAAGUCUGAUUAAUUAUAUGACAAAGUAACCAGUGUCAGCAGGAGCUAAACAGAAACUGUAAGAUGGUUGAGCUUGGUGGGGGAGUAUCGUUAGCAAAUAGCAACCCUCCAAAUGGAUUGAACAUAGAGGGUAGGACCUGAACCAUUUGUUACUGACAGUGAAGUUAACGAGUCAGUUUCUGUUACUAUUUGGUGACUGAUAAUUAGUGCGAAUAUCUUGAACUGAAAUUAUUAGAGAGAAGGAAAGGGGUAGAAUAACAUUGUAUAAAGGAGAGGGAGGAACAUAGUAAGACAGAUUGUCAGAAGUUAGUAGUGAGGCCAGGGUUCUCUCUAAUCCUUGGAACUGACACAGUUUUCUUCUGUAAUUUUCAUCCUAUUUCUAGGACCUGUUAUUACCAAUCUGAUUUACCCCGAGAUAAAGUUUCUUUCUGAUAAACGGAGAAUGGUAUAUUGAUUGACCAUUCUAUUUAAACAUAUAAUCAAGUAAUAAUUUUCUUUAAUUCAUCUGUUAUUCAUUGAUAUGAUUAUAAUACAACUUCCAAUCAGUUCUAUUGGUUAUCAGAUAUAAUUUUUCCAUACUUAAUAUUCGCUUCUAAACGGACUAAUGAUUAAUGUUUGGUGGUUGAAAUGUUUUUAUAAUGCAGUACAAUUUUUGGCCCCCAUUUCAUGCAGUACUCUCUGAAGGAUGAUUAUUUGUACAAAAUCUGAAAGAUACAAAUGUUGUGUGGAAACAAACAAGCUAUAUUUAACGUAUGUUGCUGGUACUUCAGAAACUUUUCCGCCUUUUUCGGUAAAAUGAUCUUCGUUAUUUUUUGUGGUUCGUUGUAGAUGCAGGGUAAAACUUCACGCAGUAAUAAUUCCGUUUCACUCUGUCAAAUUUUUUGGUAUUUGAUAAAGGGGACAUUGAUGCAAGGAUACUUUAACUUAGGUCACGUAUUUGUAUUGAUACUUAUUAAUGAAGUAUUUAAUUUAUAAAUUUGUAGUG